rnacentral:sRNA from 1 species
GCAGUACUGAUCGAACAAGGAAUCGAGC